GCACUGGGUGGCUCAGUUGGUAGCAGGUGCACCAUAUGCAGAGGCUAAAAUCCUCGACUGUUCUGGGUGCUGGGUUCGAUUCCCGGUCUCGGGCC